AGGUGAAACUUAUAUUUUUUUAGUGAUAUACAAAUUUUAUAAUUAAUUUGAAAGCUAUUGAAACUUAGAAAUAAACCAGGAUUAGAUACCCUGUUAUACUAAGAUUGUAAAUUUAUUUCGCUUGAGUAGUAAUAAGUUAUGAGCUCGAAACUUAAAGGAUUUGGCGGUAUUUAAGUCUAAUUAGAGGAACCUGCACUGUAAACGAUAUGCCACGAAUAAUCUUACUUUAUCUUGUAUUCAGCUUGUAUACCUCCAUUAUAAGUCAUUUUUUUAAGAAGCGUCUGUAAUAAAAUAAGUUUUAGCAUAUUAGGUCAAGGUGCAGUUAAUGGUAAAGUAGUUGUGGGUUACAAUAUUUAUGUAAAUAAAUGGAUAAAUAUAUGAAAGUAUAUUUUGAAAGUGGAUUUAAUUGUAUUCUUUAAAUAAUAAGUAAAGAUGAUAAUAGCUCUGAAAUAUGUACACAUCGCCCGUCGCUCUCAUUAUAAGGUGAGAUA
rnacentral:rRNA from 1 species